rnacentral:lncRNA from 1 species
GAUAAAACACUGAAGAUCAACUCCAUGUGUGUGACCCGACUGUCCUGGAAACUUCAACUGGAAGAGAAUCCAAACCUUAAGUUGUGCUUAUAACUUCAGCCCAAGUAAGAAAAACGAGGUUGGGGGGGGGCGGCACAGGGUGGGGACCAAGUCUUGGGUGGUGGGGGAGGGCUUGGGGAUGGAUGUGGUGGGGACAAGGCGGAAGAGAGCUAUGUCUUUAAUUCUGUCCUAUGGUUAUACAUAUUUUUUCUUCUAUGAAUGGGUUUUGCUGUAAAUUAUAGCUUUGCCCGUGGUCCCUUGGGUCAAAAGAAAUAGUCUCUAAACAGAAAACAGCUCUGAUUGGUGCCUUUCCUUCUUCCCUCCCCAACCCCCUUCCUAAUUGAAACCAAAUGUGCAAUAUAUUGGAUCCCUGGCGCUGCCCCAGGAAUCCUCAGAAUGUGAGGUUUCUCUCAAAGCAUCUUGCAUCAGCCUGUGGAUGUAUGCCUACCGCCGGGCUCCUUCACCGGCAAAGUGGAAAAAGAAGCGUUUCACAACAAAUUCUUUUUUUGGGGGGGAGGGUUGGGGGGAACGUAGUGGAUUAUAACUCUGUUCUUCUUUCCAAAUCUGUGUACUCCUGGAUGCACUUUCUGUAAUUAUCCAACCAAUGGAGAAUCCCAGCUUUUGGCAGGUCAUAUACUUGGAAUCUCUCUGGAAUCUCACCUUGGCCUCCCAGCACUGAGAAAGAUCAGGUCUGACCCAGCCCAAGAGUCCAUGAGUCCUGGAGGAGCAAUGAAAAGCCAAAGAAGUUCUAAAAUUGGCUAGGCUCACUCCAAAGCCCCUAUGUUCAGCUGGGCUUCUCCUCAGCAAGGUCUGCGGUAGGUCACUGAUUUGUGGGUUGCGUUUCAUUCCUAGACAGACACCAACGAAAUGUCGAAGGAGUCCCUUGGAUCUACUGCUCAGAGAUUAAUGCUACCUCAUUGUGGUGUGUGGGUUGACGGGGAGAGCGUGUGAAGAAUAGAACCUCAUGUGCAAAAGGUAGUGAGGGAGAAGAAAAUGUUGUAAGGUUUGGGUCCCAGCACCAUCAUUUUCCAGAUUUUUGACCUCAGACCUCAUCUGUCUCCCUCAUGAGUUUUUAUCCCCUCCUUUUUAGGUUCAGAUAAAAUAAUGUGUAAGAAACUUUAUAUACUGGGAAGCGCCAUGCCUAUGAAGAUGGUAGGUGGCAUGCCCCUUGGGAUGCAUUUCAUGGGUAGCUAAUCCAGCAGAAUUUACCGGAUGCAAGAUUACCUUUAGGGUCUUCAUGGCUUAGGCAGCCAAAAGUAAAUUGAGAUGGGAGAUGGGUUAAAAAGAAGAACGAAGAGUAUGUGAAAGAGAGUUAAUGCCUACAAUUUGAAAGUAAAGGAGUAGUAAGGGGGGGG